rnacentral:rRNA from 1 species
CGCUUAGAGAUGGGCCUGCGGCGUAUUAGCUAGUUGGUGGGGUAAUGGCCUACCAAGGCGACGAUCAGUAGCCGGUCUGAGAGGAUGAACGGCCACAUUGGAACUGAGACACGGUCCAAACUCCUACGGGAGGCAGCAGUGGGGAAUAUUGCACAAUGGGGGAAACCCUGAUGCAGCAACGCCGCGUGAGUGAAGAAGUAUUUCGGUAUGUAAAGCUCUAUCAGCAGGGAAGAUAAUGACGGUACCUGACUAAGAAGCUCCGGCUAAAUACGUGCCAGCAGCCGCGGUAAUACGUAUGGAGCAAGCGUUAUCCGGAUUUACUGGGUGUAAAGGGAGCGUAGGUGGCAAGGCAAGCCAGAAGUGAAAACCCGGGGCUCAACCGCGGGAUUGCUUUUGGAAUUGUCAUGCUAGAGUGCAGGAGGGGUGAGCGGAAUUCCUAGUGUAGCGGUGAAAUGCGUAGAUAUUAGGAGGAACACCGGAGGCGAAGGCGGCUCACUGGACUGUAACUGACGUUGAGGCUCGAAAGCGUGGGGAGCAAACAGGAUUAGAUACCCUGGUAGUCCACACCGUAAACGAUGAUUACUAGGUGUUGGAGGAUUGACCCCUUCAGUGCCGCAGUUAACACAAUAAGUAAUCCACCUGGGGAGUACGACCGCAAGGUUGAAACUCAAAGGAAUUGACGGGGGCCCGCACAAGCAGUGGAGUAUGUGGUUUAAUUCGACGCAACGCGAAGAACCUUACCAAGUCUUGACAUCCUGCGACGAUGCUGGAAACAGUAUUUUCCUUCGGGACGCAGAGACAGGUGGUGCAUGGUUGUCGUCAGCUCGUGUCGUGAGAUGUUGGGUUAAGUCCCGCAACGAGCGCAACCCUUAUGGUCAGUUACUACGCAAGAGGACUCUGGCCAGACUGCCGUUGACAAAACGGAGGAAGGUGGGGAUGACGUCAAAUCAUCAUGCCCUUUAUGACUUGGGCUACACACGUACUACAAUGGCGUUAAACAAAGAGAAGCAAGACCGCGAGGUGGAGCAAAACUCAGAAACAACGUCCCAGUUCGGACUGCAGGCUGCAACUCGCCUGCACGAAGUCGGAAUUGCUAGUAAUCGCAGAUCAGCAUGCUGCGGUGAAUACGUUCCCGGGCCUUGCACUCACCGCCCGUCA